AGACAAUUACAAUAUCGGAUCCGAUUCCGGAAGCGGAUAAGGGUAAUCCCGGGUUUUGGAUAUCAACUAAAAAAAAUCCAGACAGGUGACAAAAUACAUCUAUGCAUGGUAAAUAAAUAUAAACACUAGAAUUGAAAACCAAAAGAUAUAUGUAAAAGAAAGAAAAAGCAGAAAAUAUUUUGUACACCAAUUUUAAUGUCAAAAUCCAUUACAACGUGACAGCUGGGAACAGUUUAUCUAACAAUAUAUAUGUUCCUGGUAACAGUAUAAAUUUUCUUUAUCAGUGAUAAAUGUUGGUAAUGCAUGUUAGAUGCUUUUCAAGUUAAACAUAUUACUGCAAUUUCAAGGGGUAUUUUUUUCUUCUCAAUUUUGAUAGGUCAGUUAAAAUAGCUGGAAGUUUCUUAUAUAUAAAAAAAGAUGUGGUAUGAUUGCCAAUGAGACAACUAUCCACAAGAGACCAAAAUGACACAGACAUUAACAACAAUAGGUCAUCGUACACCCUUCAACAAUGAGCAAAGCCCAUACCGCAUAGUCAGCUAUAAAAGGCCCCGAUAAGACAAUGUAAAACAAUUCAAACGAGAAAACUAACGGCCCUAUUUAUAUAAAAAAAUUAACAAAAAACAAAUAUGUAACACAAAAAACAAACGACAACCACUGAAUUACAGGCUCCUGACUUGGGACAGGCACAAAUAGUGCAACUAUAUUAUAUGAUACCUGAAUGUAAGCAAAUCAUUUGAUAUAUAGGUGGAGUCCAUUUGGCCACUCUACCUCCUCCUGUUUGAUAACUUUGAAACGGAUGAGAUCCCAACC
rnacentral:lncRNA from 1 species